CACACACUGAGCUUGAAUAGCUAUUGGCAGUUAUAUUUCUCACUGUGCUUUGGUAAGAGGCUGAUGUGGAAAUACUUUGAAGCAAGAAGAAAGGUCUUCCCAACUUGAGCUUCAUGGUAAUUUUGAAUAUCAGCUCUGCAGGCAUCUAGGGGUUGGUUGAAGAACAAAGCUUCAUCUGUUGCCUGUUCUUAUGCAUUUUAACGUGCUGUAUUCUAAGAUUAAAGAAAAAAGUAAGUUUAACAAGCAUCUGACUUUUGAU